CUGACGUGGGUGCUAGCCUCUAAGAUUUAGCCAUGCAUGCUUUGUGAACCCAGACGGGGGAACGGCGAACGGCUCAGUAAUGUUGCGGUGAUCUGCUCUGGUUGAGAAAGAUAACCACGGUAAACUGUGGCUAAGAGACCAGAAUGAGCUGCAACCCUAUCAGUUUGUUGGAAGUGUAAAAGACUCCCAAGACGUCGACGGGUAACGGGAAAUCAGUGUUUGAUUCCGGAGAGGGAGCCUGAGAGAUGGCUCCCACGUCCAAGGAUGGCAGCAGGCGCGAAAAUUGUCCACUCUUUGGAGAGGAGACAGUUAUGAGGCGUGAUUAAAAGAGCGAAGUGUAAACACCUUCGUGUAACGCAAUUGGAGGGCAAGUUUUGGUGCCAGCAGCCGCGGUAAUUCCAACUCCAAGAGUGCCCAUGGUGGAUGCUGCAGUUAAAAAGUCCGUAGUCGUAAAUGCAAUUAAAGGGUGCGGAUCAAGCGCACUGAGUUUGUUGAGUUGUAGCGGAGCGGAUAGGGAGCAUGGUAUAGGUUGGCGAAGAAUGAAAUCUCAAGACCCAACCUGGACCAACUGAGGCGAAAGCGGUGCUCUUAUACGCAUCCGAGGAUCAAGGACGAAGGCUGGAGGAUCGAAAGUGAUUAGAUACCGCUGUAGUUCCAGCAGUAAACUAUGCCGACAUUCUCUGUCCAGCGGACGGGGAAGGGAGAAAUCUUAGUUUUCGGGCUNCUGGGGAUAGUACGCUUGCAAGAGUGAAACUUAAAGCGAAAUUGACGGAAGGACACUACCAGGAGUGGAUUGUACUGCUUAAUUUGACUCAACGCGGGAAAACUUACCAGGGUCAAGUUCUCCGUAGAUCGAGUAACGUGAGGGGAACGAGAGUGGUGCAUGGCCGUUGGAAAUUGAUGGGAUGACUUUUAGCUUAAAUGCUGAAACCAGUGAGAUUUUCUAGACAGGUGCCAUCCGGCACAGGAGGGCGAAGGCGAUAACAGGUCCGUGAUGCCCUUAGAUAUCCUGGGCUGCAAGUGCAAUACAAUAUCCAUGUCGAUCAAGAAAGGUGAUUAUGGAUGAGCAGGAUUAGCUUUUGUAAAUGAGCUAUGAAUGAGGAAUUNCCUAGUAACAGUGUCUCACUAAGGCAUUGUGAAUGCGUCCCCUGUUNCUUUGUACACACCGCCCGUCACUAUUUCAGAUGGCCAUGAAGAUGAAGAGCUUCGGUUCUGAAUAUUCAUG
rnacentral:rRNA from 1 species